AGGCUCCACUCAUCCUCUCUUUCUCCUCUCUCUCUCUCUCUCUCGAUCCGGGGAGGAAGAACCCUAACCCUAGCCAUGCCCAUCUGUGUUACGCUCUCUCCCUUUCUCCAAAGCCCACGAGAGAUCCGAGACAAAGAACCCUAACCGAAGCGAUGGCCUUUUGCCUCCGAGCUCCUCCCUCAUCGCCCUUCUAGUACUUAUCUUCUAGCCGUCCCGCACUGGAAACGGCGUCUGCCGUCUAGCUUUGAACUUCCUGUUGGGAACUCGGGGAGGCUUCGGCAAAUGGAACAAAAGAAAUCGAGAGUUCCAAAUCCUUGUAAAAUUUUGGAGAUGCAGAUGAAUGCACACCCACCUGAGUUUGUGACUGCCAGUUCGUCCUCACAAAUUUUAGCUCUCAGUUUACCAUCACAUGCAGUGGACGCAAGAGACAAAGGAGUAGAAUGUGGCAUUCAUCAUGUCCAUCCACCAACCAAACUGCCCUAAGUGCAACUCACAAAGAAGACAAGUCGAAGUUUCUGUAUCACGUCCAUCACCUCUUUGAACAUGAGUGGAAUCAAUGGAGGAGGCUGAGAGUUUCCAAGGGCUUGACGGCUUGGAGCUUCUGAGGAGGAGGAGGCGGCGGCAAUGAGUGCACGUACUUGCAGUUCGGACAUGAAGGAGAUGACUUGCGCAGCAUGACGAGGAGAUGGCAGUUCACACAGACUAAUGCCAUCAUGCUGCUGCCACUUGAGCUGCACUGUUUCUUCGUCUCUGAGCUCCCAAAGGUUGAGAUGUUAAGCUCCAACUUCAUCGAGUUCUCCUCGAGCCUCACCCAACUCUUCUUCAUCGUCUUCCUGUUCAAGUAGUACAUGUUCCCCGACUGCCACAAAUCAAGGUUACAACACUGAGAUGCCAUUUAGCUGUGUGAUAUAUGAGAAUAACAGGGAGGGAGGGAGAGAGAGAGAGAUAGAGAGAAGGUGUUCACUUGUAAGUCCAGGCAUUGUUCCCAUUCUAAAGGGAGGGGAUGAUUGUGGUGGAGAUCAAUCCCAUGAUCCCAAGUCUGCAUCUUCCUUUUCCUCUUAGCAAUCGCAUCUGAUUCCGUAGA